rnacentral:rRNA from 1 species
UUUUCCUACGGGGCGCAGCAGCCGCGGUAAUACGUAGGUGGCAAGCGUUAUCCGGAUUUAUUGGGCGUAAAGGGAACGCAGGCGGUCUUUUAAGUCUGAUGUGAAAGCCUUCGGCUUAACCGGAGUAGUGCAUUGGAAACUGGGAGACUUGAGUGCAGAAGAGGAGAGUGGAACUCCAUGUGUAGCGGUGAAAUGCGUAGAUAUAUGGAAGAACACCAGUGGCGAAAGCGGCUCUCUGGUCUGUAACUGACGCUGAGGUUCGAAAGCGUGGGUAGCAAACAGGAUUAGAAACCCGUGUAGUCUUA